GGGGAUAUAGCUCAGCUGGGAGAGCGCUGCGUUCGCAACGCAGAGGUCGCGAGUUCGAAUCUCGUUAUCUCCA
rfam:Clostridium hathewayi WAL-18680 genomic scaffold supercont1.1, whole genome shotgun sequence.